GAUGAACGCUGGCGGCGUGCCUAAUACAUGCAAGUCGAGCGAACAGACGAGGAGCUUGCUCCUCUGACGUUAGCGGCGGACGGGUGAGUAACACGUGGAUAACCUACCUAUAAGACUGGGAUAACUUCGGGAAACCGGAGCUAAUACCGGAUAAUAUAUUGAACCGCAUGGUUCAAUAGUGAAAGACGGUUUUGCUGUCACUUAUAGAUGGAUCCGCGCCGCAUUAGCUAGUUGGUAAGGUAACGGCUUACCAAGGCAACGAUGCGUAGCCGACCUGAGAGGGUCAUCGGACACACUGGAACUGAGACACGGUCCAGACUCCUACGGGAGGCAGCAGUAGGGAAUCUUCCGCAAUGGGCGAAAGCCUGACGGAGCAACGCCGCGUGAGUGAUGAAGGUCUUCGGAUCGUAAAACUCUGUUAUUAGGGAAGAACAAAUGUGUAAGUAACUAUGCACGUCUUGACGGUACCUAAUCAGAAAGCCACGGCUAACUACGUG
rnacentral:rRNA from 1 species